UUCCUUACAAAGUGCAGAUUUAGCACAACCUGGUAUUCCUGGAAAAAAAACAAUGAGACCCUCAUUCUUUGCGACCAUGUCUUUGCUGGAAAUACUAGGGCUUGAAGGAGCAAUAUCUUUGGUCGGCUCAAGAUCACCCUCUACAUCUUCUCCUUCAACAAUAGCCAUGAAGUCUUCAACUUUGACAAAAUUUCCAGCAGAUCCUAUCAACGCCUGAUUUUGUGGACUACGCUUUGCAUAUUGCUCAAGGAAGGGCUCAGCUUCACUUAGGUAUGUGGAUGAUGACAAUGGUUUGUUCCCAUAUUUUCUGCGUAUAUAUACUGCCCAUUCAUCAAGCAUCUUG
rnacentral:misc_RNA from 1 species